CACUACGUACCUGCAAGUGCUUCAUGUACGUUUGUUGGAAGUAGCUCCGCAAAUGCAAAGGGCAGUAGUCGUUGCAUAAAGACAUGACAAUCAUGACUCUUCAUCCCGGAGAACUUUUGACCCUUUUCAACACAUCUAGAGAGAUUCAAAACAUACCCAUCGGGGAACUUCACUUCUGAUGCCACCCAGUUGAACAACAC
rnacentral:lncRNA from 1 species